AUUGAACGCUGGCGGCAGGCCUAACACAUGCAAGUCGAGCGGAUGAAGGGAGCUUGCUCCUGGAUUCAGCGGCGGACGGGUGAGUAAUGCCUUGGAAUCUGCCUGGUAGUGGGGGAUAACGUCCGGAAACGGGCGCUAAUACCGCAUACGUCCUGAGGGAGAAAGUGGGGGAUCUUCGGACCUCACGCUAUCAGAUGAUCCUAGGUCGGAUUAGCUAGUUGGUGGGGUAAAGGCCUACCAAGGCGACGAUCCGUAACUGGUCUGAGAGGAUGAUCAGUCACACUGGAACUGAGACACGGUCCAGACUCCUACGGGAGGCAGCAGUGGGGAAUAUUGGACAAUGGGCGAAAGCCUGAUCCAGCCAUGCCGCGUGUGUGAAGAAGGUCUUCGGAUUGUAAAGCACUUUAAGUUGGGAGGAAGGGCAGUAAGUUAAUACCUUGCUGUUUUGACGUUACCAACAGAAUAAGCACCGGCUAACUUCGUG
rnacentral:rRNA from 1 species